rnacentral:rRNA from 1 species
ACGAACGCUGGCGGCGUGCUUAACACAUGCAAGUCGAACGGUGAAGCGCCUUCCUUUUUGGUGGGUGUGGAUGAGUGGCGAACGGGUGAGUAACACGUGAGUAACCUGCCCCCUUCUUCUGGAUAACCGCAUGAAAGUGUGGCUAAUACGGGAUAUUCUGGGUCUGUCGCAUGAUGGGUCUGGGAAAGAUAUUGUUUCGGUGGGGGAUGGGCUCGCGGCCUAUCAGCUUGUUGGUGGGGUGAUGGCCUACCAAGGCGGUGACGGGUAGCCGGCCUGAGAGGGUGGACGGUCACACUGGGACUGAGACACGGCCCAGACUCCUACAGGAGGCAGCAGUGAGGAAUAUUGCACAAUGGGCGCAAGCCUGAUGCAGCGACGCCGCGUGAGGGAUGGAGGCCUUCGGGUUGUGAACCUCUUUCGCCAGUGAAGCAGGCCUGCCUCGUUUGUGGGUGGGUUGACGGUAGCUGGAGAAGAAGCGCCGGCUAACUACGUG